rnacentral:rRNA from 1 species
CUACGGGGGGCUCCAGUGAGGAAUAUUGCACAAUGGGGGGAACCCUGAUGCAGCAACGCCGCGUGGAGGAUGACGCAUUUCGGUGUGUAAACUCCUUUUAUAUGUCAAGAAAAUGACGGUAGCAUAUGAAUAAGCACCGGCUAACUCCGUGCCAGCAGCGCGCGGUAAUACGGAGGGUGCAAGCGUUACUCGGAAUCACUGGGCGUAAAGGACGCGUAGGCGGGUUGGAAAGUCAGGUGUGAAAUACUACAGCUUAACUGUAGAACUGCACUUGAAACUUCUAAUCUAGAGUAUGGGAGGGGGAGAUGGAAUUAGUGGUGUAGGGGUAAAAUCCGUAGAUAUCACUAGGAAUACCUAAAGCGAAGGCGAUCUCCUGGAACAUUACUGACGCUAAGGCGUGAAAGCGUGGGGAGCAAACAGGAUUAGAUACCCCUGUAGUC